UCUCUCUAACAUCCACUCAUUAUUUUGUUCGGUGUGUGUGGCCGGGAGAGCAUGUGGAUGUUGUAGGACAAUGAGCAGGAGUUGGCUUCCUCCUUCCCCCUUGUGGGGCCUGGGAACUCAGGUUCUCAGACUUAGCAGCAAGAGCUUCUUCCCACAGAACCACUGGAGCGCCAGCCUCAAACACUCAGACUUAAAUCUGUCCCUGGGAUAUAACAGAUGCUCAGUAAUGGGUGAACGAACCUAUUCUGUCAUUUUCCUUAUUGAACUCUAAAUUCCACUGGGCAAAGACUAUUUAGUGAUUGGAUUGUCAAGUCUCAAUACGAUAUUGUGCAUAUAUUUAUAAUAGAUAACUGUCAAUUAAACUGCUUUGGUCCUGGGAUAUCCCUUAUGAUUUUCCGGGCAGCUUUGUGACAUCCAUAGUGAGGAGCAGGGGUUAAGAGAGAGGGAUAUUUAUACAGGGCUAUUUUCUUUCUGGGGAGCCUGGGGUGCAUACUUCAACUCCUCAACUCUCUAUUUCCCUUGCGAAAGAGGGAUAAUGAUGCCUAAUAACUUAAUUCUUUCAAAGCCAUUGAGAGGAUUAAGUUGAAGGUGUUUAUGGUCUAAUAAGUAAUUGUUGUUGUUGUUGUUAUAGUAUCUGCUUUCUGUUUCUCAUGCAGAUAAUCAUGCCCACGGUACUUGGUCAGUCUUUUUUUUUUUUAAACCCAUACCAGGACGCUGGAGAGUGGGAGACUUUGAGACCUCAGUUGUAAGUGAAUUAUCUUCAUCAAAACCCUCCCCUCAGUGUUCAGGGAUCUAGGCAGAAGAGGAGUUGGAAAGAGGGUAAGAGUCAGCGGUGGUGACGGAUGGAUGAUUCCGAGGAAACAGCAUCUCCCAGACACAACAGAGACUGAGGCGGCCCGUACAAGGCGGGCACAGUCUGAGAAGGGGAGGUGGGCAUCGUCUUCUACCCCUAACCAGGCUGCAGCUGAUACCCAAUGGCAAAGGAAAACUCAGUUUUCUCCAGCGGAGUCUCACUGGCCGACAGAAACACUGAAGAGAAGGAAGAGGGACUUUGACUCCUGGUUUUCGGGGCUCAUCAUGCUGUCUGAGGAGGUGCGGUGGCGUUCAAGGCAGUGGGGGCAUUUGAUGAUGGCUACUCAUGUAAGAAUGAAUCAGGAAACAGAGCAAAGUCACACCCAGCG